rnacentral:rRNA from 1 species
AGGAGCUUGCUCUUCUUGGAUGAGUUGCGAACGGGUGAGUAACGCGUAGGUAACCUGCCUUGUAGCGGGGGAUAACUAUUGGAAACGAUAGCUAAUACCGCAUAACAAUGGAUGACACAUGUCAUUUAUUUGAAAGGGGCAAUUGUUCCACUACAAGAUGGACCUGCGUUGUAUUAGCUAGUAGGUGAGGUAAUGGCUCACCUAGGCGACGAUACAUAGCCGACCUGAGAGGGUGAUCGGCCACACUGGGACUGAGACACGGCCCAGACUCCUACGGGAGGCAGCAGUAGGGAAUCUUCGGCAAUGGGGGCAACCCUGACCGAGCAACGCCGCGUGAGUGAAGAAGGUUUUCGGAUCGUAAAGCUCUGUUGUAAGUCAAGAACGGGUGUGAGAGUGGAAAGUUCACACUGUGACGGUAGCUUACCAGAAAGGGACGGCUAACUACGUGCCAGCAGCCGCGGUAAUACGUAGGUCCCGAGCGUUGUCCGGAUUUAUUGGGCGUAAAGCGAGCGCAGGCGGUUUGAUAAGUCUGAAGUUAAAGGCUGUGGCUCAACCAUAGUUCGCUUUGGAAACUGUCAAACUUGAGUGCAGAAGGGGAGAGUGGAAUUCCAUGUGUAGCGGUGAAAUGCGUAGAUAUAUGGAGGAACACCGGUGGCGAAAGCGGCUCUCUGGUCUGUAACUGACGCUGAGGCUCGAAAGCGUGGGGAGCGAACAGGAUUAGAUACCCUGGUAGUCCACGCCGUAAACGAUGAGUGCUAGGUGUUGGAUCCUUUCCGGGAUUCAGUGCCGCAGCUAACGCAUUAAGCACUCCGCCUGGGGAGUACGACCGCAAGGUUGAAACUCAAAGGAAUUGACGGGGGCCCGCACAAGCGGUGGAGCAUGUGGUUUAAUUCGAAGCAACGCGAAGAACCUUACCAGGUCUUGACAUCCCGAUGCUAUUUCUAGAGAUAGAAAGUUACUUCGGUACAUCGGUGACAGGUGGUGCAUGGUUGUCGUCAGCUCGUGUCGUGAGAUGUUGGGUUAAGUCCCGCAACGAGCGCAACCCCUAUUGUUAGUUGCCAUCAUUCAGUUGGGCACUCUAGCGAGACUGCCGGUAAUAAACCGGAGGAAGGUGGGGAUGACGUCAAAUCAUCAUGCCCCUUAUGACCUGGGCUACACACGUGCUACAAUGGUUGGUACAACGAGUUGCGAGUCGGUGACGGCGAGCUAAUCUCUUAAAGCCAAUCUCAGUUCGGAUUGUAGGCUGCAACUCGCCUACAUGAAGUCGGAAUCGCUAGUAAUCGCGGAUCAGCACGCCGCGGUGAAUACGUUCCCGGGCCUUGUACACACCGCCCGUCACACCACGAGAGUUUGUAACACCCGAAGUCGGUGAGGUAACCUUUUGAGCCAGCCGCCUAAGGUGG